GUUUACGGCCAUACCACCCCGAAUAUGCCCGAUCUUGGAAGCUAAGCAGGUUCGGGCUCGGUGAGUACUUGGAUGGGAGACCGCCUGGGAAUACCGAGUGCUGUAAGCU
rnacentral:rRNA from 1 species